GUCACUCAAACACCCGCCUGUGAAAUGGCAUCCUGGAUUUUUCCCCAAAUUCAAAUCAGUCUCUCAUAACAGUGACAUUUUUAAUUAUGCAUGAAUCCUGCUCGUCAAAGUUUAACUAAUGAAUGACUCUGCAAGCAGUGGAAUGUGUCAAGGUCCUGCAGUAGAGCUGGCUAAGCUUGCAUGCUGGGACCAAAGGUCAGCCUCCUCACCUGUUCCUCGAUUGACUUUUUUCCAACCAUCUCCUGUGGACACCUACAAGACGAUGAUGACCUCGAUCCUGGAUGCACAAUGUGAGUGAAUGUUAUCUUUUAAGAAUUAUGUAAUCAUUUCGGAACCAGGAAGUCCGAGGGAAAUCUUGCCUCCUGAUUGAAAUACACCUCUCUGCGCUCAAGCAAUCACGGAAACCGGCAGAAGUGGGAGUGUGAAUUGAGUCACUACAGGCAUCGCCAACACACACGAGCUUCCCACCGAGACAUCCACUUCACCGACUUCAGAUCAGAGCAACGAGUAUUCAAAUUAGAUCCAGUCAGAUCAUGUGUAUUAUGGAGAAACUGCACAUCUGUGGAACAUAUCUAAACAGACCAACUGAAGAUGCUUGCAAAAUGACAUUUUAGGCACUUUAAAUACAAAUUGUUGUGCAAACUUGGUAAAAUGGCAUCCAAGGUUAUGGAAAAUAAUUAAUAAAACUUUACUGCCACUCUAGGA